CGUGACCCAGUUUUCAGCGCUGCGUCCUGCACUUCCGGGUUCAACCCGCGCGCCAGGCUAAAAUGUAACUAUUUCUUUGAUUCGUCGGCGCCUCGCGGUAAAUUCAAAUAGAGCCAAUCAAAGGUUUCCUUAUAAAGCCAACAGUACUGGCUACGUCAUAUCCCGCCCGCUCUGAACAGCUGCGGGAGUCUCUUUUCAAAAGCGAAGUUGACGAGAAUACAUCGACGUAUUUUCGCUGUAUUUUUGACAUCUCUUAAUUUUCGGAAAAGCGGGUUUUACAGUCGAUAAAUAACAUAUGAAGGGACAUACUGACGGAGUUUUAUGAAUUUCCGUGCAAAAAUGUUUGCGUGCCGCCGUCCGAAAGACCGCGGAAAACUCUACGGUGACCCAAUUCAUAGCUCCCGGCCGACCCUCCCCCUCACGGACGGUGAUUCAACGCAGACAUUUUCGGUAUAUGUUGCUGGAAUCUACCCAAAGGACUACAGCUAAGCUGACCUUUUAGAGCAGCAAUAUUCCAGUGUCAAGUUCCAAGAUAAAGGAGAAGUCAUUCAUGCAAGAAACAUUGAAUCGUGACUCAAACAAAACAACUUCAUGACAGACACAGCAUCUUGCUCUGUUGGCUACAUGAGUUUGGAGGAUUGGAAACAAUUUGCUGCACCGCAAAAGUUUUGGUUCAAAAUGCAAAUUGGUGGUCGCACUGAGUACUGUACAGCAAAUUAGUGAAGAACUACAAUACACGACGAAACAGCAUGGUAAGGUGAAAGCAUGAUAAUCCAGCCACCUGGCUGGUAGGACAAGAGAAAUUUGUCAAAGUUUGUGCUAUGUAUACUGCCAGGAAAGGACAGAGGAAUGAAAACACUGUGGAGAACCUUUGAAAGAAGGACAACUAAGAGAAAUCUACAAAGAAGAGGAAUCAUGAAAGAAAGAAGAAAGGACAAGCAUGUGAUUGUGAUGAAAGAAGGACAAGAAAAGACAGCUUGUUUAGACAUUAUAAAAAAGCGAACUCGUCACAAACCAUCGCAAAGUACCAGACAUGACAGGCCUGGAACUGGAAUUUCAGCUUUGGGCUGAACUACCCCGAUUGGGGAUGAACAUCAUUGACUCUGGCAGAAUUUAUUGUCUCAGCAAACAAAAUGUAAAAGAAAACAAAAAAACAUGAUGAUGUUGAGGACUACUUACCUCUUGCUUCUGUAGCAUAUAAUGAAGACGACAUUCUUCUCACGGCCCUUAGGAGAAACGAUGCUGACGCUGACAUUCCACUGUCAGCUUUUCAUUUUAUUUAUUGCAUAUAGGGUUAUAAAAUGCAUAGUUGAUUAUGCAGUACUCGAUAGAUAUGAAGUUUUGUACUGUUUCUCUACUAUUCUGAUCCCAGCCACACUUUAAAUUGUGAAUGUAAGAGCUGAGAUGUUGUUUUCCUUUGUCAAGGGGGAGGGGGGCACCAUGUACAAUAUGCAUAUGUAAUGACUUAUUAAGGUAAUGAAACGCAUAGUUAAUUAUGCUGUACUUGUUCAACUUGUGACUUUGUACUGAUCUCCACCAUUCUGAUUCCAGCCACCCUUCAAACUGUGAGUGUAAUUUAUAUAAGGGCUGAGAUGUUGUUUUCCUAUGCCAAGGGGGAGGGUGGCACCAUGUACAAUAUGCAUAUGUAAUGAUUUAUGAAGGUCAUGAAAUGCAUACAGUUGAAGAUAGGAAUAAAUAGAGUUGACAGCUUA